AGUCUGUGAGCUGGGAGCCUGUUGGCAGGUCCCUCUUUUUAUUUUCGCUGAGAGCUUUCUUUUACUAAAUGCCACCAUCCUUACCUUUCAAGGUGUCUGCGUGCCUAAUUUUUCCUGGUUGUUAGACAAGAACCCGGAUUUUAGUUGAACUCUGGAGCAAAAAUCCUGCAUCAUUUGUAGGUGGGUGUCAUUGUGACUGGCUGCUACCUCCCCAUGAGUCUUCUAAAAUAAAACCUGCAAAUUCACAUCUUCCCCAUGCUUCCAGAGAAUGCAUAUUCUUCCUUUGAAAAAAGAAAACCAGGUAGUCGUACAGUGUCCAGAAGGCAAAAGGACAAGUAUGCACUGCCCUACUUACCUACUUUCCACACUGCUGCACAGGAAAAUCUGACAGAGGACAAUAACAAACAUCUCACCAGCUCAUGCGUUCUUUUUUGAUCCUAAUUCCGAGAGACUCACCAAAGACAUGAAGAGAAAACAAACAAUACUUUUCUUGGAAAUAUUGUAAUUGCUGGUACAUUUGUUGUUCUGGCAUAAAGUAGAAAUUGUCAGGUAAACAUUGCUUCCUUUUGGAUCAAAAAGAAAUUUAACCAAAUAAAUGCAAGAGGUAUGAGGGAAGAUAAUGGGAAAUAAAUGAGAUUUGAGAAAUCA
rnacentral:lncRNA from 1 species